UACGUAGGUGGCGAACGUUGUCCGGAUUUACUGGGCGUAAAGCGCGCGCAGGCGGACUGAUAAGUCAGAGGUGAAAUCUCCCGGCUCAACUGGGAGGGGCCCUUUGAUACUGUCAAUCUUGAGAUGCCUAGAGGAGAGUGGAAUUCCCGGUGUAGUGGUGGAAUGCGUAGAUAUCGGGAGGAACACCAGUGGCGAAAGCGACUCUCUGGGGGCGAUCUGACGCUCAUGCACGAAAGCGUGGGGAGCAAACAGG
rnacentral:rRNA from 1 species